CUAUAAAGGGCCCCAAAAUUACUAGUGUAAAACCAUUCAAACGGGAAAACCAACGGUCUAAUCUAUAUAAAAUUUAAAAAAAACAGAAACGAGAAACACGUAUAAAUUACAUAAACAAACGACAACUACUGUACAUCAGAUACCUGACUUGGGACAGGUGCACAUAUUUGCAGCGGGAUUAAACGUUUUAAUGGAUCCAACCCUCCCUUUUUCUGAAACAAUAGCAUAACAUCACAACAUAGAAAAACACCCGAUAAAAUA
rnacentral:lncRNA from 1 species